CCUACGGGUGGCUGCAGUGGGGAAUAUUGCACAAUGGGGGAAACCCUGAUGCAGCGACGCCGCGUGAAGGAAGAAGUAUUUCGGUAUGUAAACUUCUAUCAGCAGGGAAGAAAAUGACGGUACCUGACUAAGAAGCCCCGGCUAACUACGUGCCAGCAGCCGCGGUAAUACGUAGGGGGCAAGCGUUAUCCGGAUUUACUGGGUGUAAAGGGAGCGUAGGCGGUGAUGGAAGUCAGAAGUGAAAGCCCGCAGCGCAACUGCGGGACUGCUUUUGAAACUGUAUGACUAGAUUGCAGGAGAGGUAAGUGGAAUUCCUGGGGUAGCGGUGAAAUGCGUAGAUAUUAGGAGGAACACCAGUGGCGAAGGCGGCUUACUGGACUGUAAAUGACGCUGAGGCUCGAAAGCGUGGGGAGCAAACAGGAUUAGAUACCCUAGUAGUC
rnacentral:rRNA from 1 species